rnacentral:piRNA from 1 species
UAGAAGACAUCUUUUCCACCUCUGAAUAUGC